CCUACGGGGGGCUGCAGUGGGGGAUUUUGCACAAUGGAGGAAACUCUGAUGCAGCGACACUGCGUGAAGGAUGAAGGUUCUAGGAUCGUAAACUUCUUUUAUCAGGGAGUAAUCUUGAAAGUACCUGAUGAAUAAGGACCGGCUAACUACGUGCCAGCAGCCGCGGUAAUACGUAGGGUCCGAACGUUAUCCGGAAUUAUUGGGCGUAAAGAGUUCGUAGGUGGCAAGAAAAGUCGGGCAUUAAAGCCCUCGGCUCAACCGAGGAAUCGUAUCCGAAACUUUCUAGCUAGAGGUUCGCAGAGGCAGAUGGAAUUCAUGGUGUAGCAGUGGAAUGCGUAGAUAUCAUGAAGAACACCAAUGGCGAAGGCAGUCUGCUGGGCAACACCUGACACUGAGGAACGAAAGCGUGGGUAGCGAACGGGAUUAGAUACCCCAGUAGUC
rnacentral:rRNA from 1 species